rnacentral:lncRNA from 1 species
AAAAAGAAUAGCUUGCUGAAAAUUCCUGUGCCACGUUGAAGGAUACAUACUCACACACCUCGAUUCACAUCAGGUUAUAAUUAUCUCAGGCUUCAAGUACUUAAUUAUCAGUAUUUGUCACAAAUCACCAAUUGCUAUUGUUUAUGUUACAACAUGAAUGAUAAUUACCUGUAUCUCUUCGGAUAAAUAAAUCCCACUUUUGCUAGUGUGUUAUCAUUAACAUUUAUAGCCAAGAUGUUAUGUGUCUCUUGGGGAAGUUCAAUUUGAUCUGGAAUAAACACUUUUGAUUCCAAUAAUAAUCUUUACUAGUUAAGGGAGUUAGUUUUUGAUGAUAAUUCAUUGAAAUGUUAGUUUUUGUGUUCUUGGAAAAUUAUAAGCAAUUAAUUUCAUAAUGAAUAUAAGCAUUUCAAGCUUUCUAAGUGUUUUAAUAUCUUCCACUGGCUGAGAAGAGGGAAAUAUAUCAUUUAGGCAGAGAUUAUUAUAUGCUUAUUUCUGAGAGCCAGUUGCUGUUAUGGUACUGCAUUACAAAAAUCACAUAUAAAGAAAAAUUAACUGAACUAUGUAGAUCUUUUAAAAAGAAAAAUCUUAACUUCAUAUUCACAGUGGAUUCUCUUUAUGGCAUCCCUGAAUUAGAAAAAGAAUCUAGUUAUAUUUGCAUGACAUGAGUGAAGGAGCGUAUGGUCCUAAGUAAACAGUUAACCACUGACAACAAUGGGGAAGGGUCAGCCUCUCAUCUCUCAUAGUUACCUUGUUUAGAUUAAAUAUAUGAAGAUCAGUUUCUAACAAUGAGGAAGAGAAAAAUAACAAGAUUUGGGGUCAGAGAGCAAACAUUCUCUUCCAUAGAACACUAAAUUGAUAGUUUAGCUUUGGAAAGACCUCUGAGUCAGGGUUCUAAGUAAAAUGUGCCUGGUCAGCACUCUAUCUUUUCUCUCUCCUCUCUCUCUCUCUCUCUCUCUCUCUCUCUCUCUCUCUCUCUCUCUCUCUCCAUAUAUAUAUAUAUAUAUAUAUAUAUAUAUUCAGACAAUUUUUCAUUUUUAUCAAGCUUGUUUCUUAAGAAGAAUAUUUUCUUCUGUGCUUUCAUUCUUGAGACAAGGCUUGCUACAUUGCACAUACAAUAACACUUAUUUCUUAGAAAGAAACACAGGUUUUUAGUUAAGGUAUUUUCCUUAAUAUUGAUUUUUUUAAUUAACAUGUAAAUAUAGUAUAUACCAUUAAAAAUAAAAUGUAUUUUUCUUUCUGCUUAUGCACCAUAUAUAUUUAAAAAUUAUAACUAAAACAUGAUAUUGCCAGUUUAAUGACCAUUUUAAGAAAAGAAUGAACACAACUAUCAUAUUUUGGAAUGCAGUAAUGACCACUGCAGAUCAGAACAGUAGAGUGGGUUAGUCUCUUUUUAAAAGAGCUAAAAAUUAACAGACCACUUAGAAACUCCUUUUAAUUAUUUUUGAAAGUGCAGCAAUCAUCCCUUUUCAAGUAAAGUCUACUAUGGACCUCCAUUAAGGAUGUUGAAAGAACAUAUUUGAAUUACAGUCUAGGAUGAUUUAAUGAAUUCAGUGACUAUAACUUGUCCAAAAUUACAAAAGAAGAAGGAGAAGAAGAAGAAGAAAGAAAGAAGAAAGAAGG